AUCGCUUCUCGGCCUAACGGCUAAGAUCAAAGUGUAGUAUCUGUUCUUAUUAGUUUAACACCUAAUAGUUCCCUCAUAGAGGGACAAUGUUGUUAAAUUGAUUUUUGGAAGCCGGCGAAGUGCUAGGGCAGGGGCUUGCUCCACCUUUGCCACGGGUUGGCCUGGUAUUGCAGUACCGCCAGGAUCGGCCCACUUUAU
rnacentral:snRNA from 1 species